rnacentral:rRNA from 1 species
GAUGAACGCUGGCGGCGUGCCUAACACAUGCAAGUCGAGCGAUCUUCUUCGGAAGAGAGCGGCGGACGGGUGAGUAACGCGUGGGUAACCUGCCCUGUACACACGGAUAACAUACCGAAAGGUAUGCUAAUACGAGAUAAUAUACUUUUAUCGCAUGGUAGAAGUAUCAAAGCUCCGGCGGUACAGGAUGGACCCGCGUCUGAUUAGCUAGUUGGUAAGGUAACGGCUUACCAAGGCGACGAUCAGUAGCCGACCUGAGAGGGUGAUCGGCCACAUUGGAACUGAGACACGGUCCAAACUCCUACGGGAGGCAGCAGUGGGGAAUAUUGCACAAUGGGCGAAAGCCUGAUGCAGCAACGCCGCGUGAGCGAUGAAGGCCU